ACCCCGUCUGGGAAGUGAGGAGCGUCUCUGCCUGGCCGCCCAUCGUCUGGGAUGUGAGGAGCCCCUCUGCCCAGCCGCCCAGUCUGGGAAUUGAGGAGCACCUCUUCCCGGCCGCCAUCCCGUCUAGGAAGUGAGGAGCGUCUCUGCCCGGCACCCAUCCUCUGAGAUGUGGGGAGCGCCUCUGCCCCGCCGCCCUGUCUGGGAUGUGAGGAGCGCCUCUGCCCUGCCGCGACCCCGUCUGGGAACUGAGGAGUGUCUCUGCCCGACCGCCACCCCGUCUGAGAAGUGAGGAGCCCCUCUGCCCGGCAGCUGCCCCGUCUGGGAAGUGAGGAGCGUCUCCGCCCGGCAGCCGCCCCAUCCAGGAGGUGGGGGGCAGCCCCCACCCAGCCAGCCGCCCUGUCCAGGAGGGAGGUGGGGGGCAGCCCCCACCUGGCCAGCUGCCCCGUCUGGGAGGGAGGUGGGGGGCAGCCCCCACCCGGCCAGCCGCCCAGAAAAGGGGGAAAUGUGGGGAAAAGAAAGAGAGAUCAGAUUGUUACUGUGUCUGUGUGGAAAGAGGUAGACAUGGGAGACUCCAUUUUGUUCUGUACUAAGAAAAAUUCUUCUGCCUUGGGAUGCUGUUAAUCUAUAACUUUACCCCCAACUCCGUGCUCUCUGAAACAUGUGGUGUGUCCACUCAGGGUUAAAUGGAUUAAGGGCGGUGCAAGAUGUGCUUUGUUAAACAGAUGCUUGAAGGCAGCAUGCUCAUUAAGAGUCAUCACCACUCCCUAAUCUCAAGUACCCAGGGACACAAACACUGCGGAAGGCCGCAGGGUCCUCUGCCUAGGAAAACCAGAGACCCUUGUUCACAUGUUUAUCUGCUGACCUUCCCUCCACUAUUGUCCUAUGACCCUGCCAAAUCCC
rnacentral:lncRNA from 1 species